rnacentral:tRNA from 1 species
GGGCCGUUCGCCAAGCUGGUUAAGGCACCGGAUUUUGAUUCCGGCAUCCGCACGUUCGAAUCGUGCACGGUCUGCCA